rnacentral:rRNA from 1 species
GGAGGAAACUCUGAUGCAGCGACGCCGCGUGAGUGAAGAAGGUCUUCGGAUCGUAAAACUCUGUCCUUGGUGAAGAAAGAAAUGACGGUAGCCAAGGAGGAAGCCCCGGCUAACUACGUGCCAGCAGCCGCGGUAAUACGUAGGGGGCGAGCGUUGUCCGGAUUUACUGGGCGUAAAGGGUGAGUAGGCGGUUGUAUGUGUCAGAUGUAAAAGGCUAAGGCUUAACCAUAGUUAGCAUUUGAAACUGUACAACUUGAGUGCAGGAGAGGUAAGUGGAAUUCCUAGUGUAGCGGUGAAAUGCGUAGAUAUUAGGAGGAACACCAGUGGCGAAGGCGACUUACUGGACUGUAACUGACGCUGAGUCACGAAAGCGUGGGUAGCAAACAGGAUUAGAUACCCUGGUAGUCCACGCUGUAAACGAUGAGUGCUAGGUGUUGGGUAGCGAUACUCAGUGCCGAAGUAAACACAAUAAGCACUCCGCCUGGGGAGUAC